GCAUCCACGCAGAGAACAGAGAUUGUUUACUCCAGCUGCUGCGCUAGAAGAAGUACUGCGACAAUUCAGACGAUGAUAGCACUACAAACAGCAUGGAUUCUAUAGCAGAAGACAUGUUUUUGGAAGUUAUGAUUCAUCAGAUGAGGAAUGCACAUACAAACAAUACAAACUGUUUGUAUUGGCAGAUUCCCUUUGUGGUUAUACCUGGGACUUCUUUGUCUAUGAGGGCAAGAAAGGCAAUAGACAGCAGCAGAGAAAAGUAAUAGACUGAGCUAUGAUGCGGUCAUUACCCUUAUAAAUGAGAAGGUGUUGGGAACUGGUUACAAGCUAUUUGUUGAUAACUUCUACUCCAGUCCAAAACUCUUCAGAGACCUCCUUGGGAAAAAGACCUAUGCUUGUGGCACCAUCAGACCAAACCGAAAAGGCUUUCCCAAUACAACAGUGAACAAGAUGCCCAUUAACGCAACACACGGCACUAUUCGCUGAAUAAGGAACAACGAUCUUUUGCUUGUGGAGUGGAAAGACACAAGGGAAGUGCUGAUGGCCUCCACUUUUCACAAGGCCUUUACCGGUAAUUAUGUGCAGAGAAGGGUCAAAGGGAGAGAUGGCCGUUGGCCUCUAGUGGAUGUCUCUGUUCCAGCUGUUAUCAAGGACUACAAUAUGCACAUGGGGGGAGUGGAUCUCUCUGAUGCCCUGAUUGGCUACUACAAUGUCCUGCACAAAACCAAAAAGUGGUACCAGACUUUUUUUUGACCACUUUGUGGACAUUGCUGUGGUCAGUGCAUUCAUCUUGCAUCAGCAACUGAAAGGAUUUCUCAGAAGGCAUUUAGAGAGACACUAAUUUUGGAGCAUGCAGACACUCAGACUCCAACAAUGACUAAAAAGCAUUUAUUACACAUUUAUAAGAUUUUAAGUCUUACUGUAAACCAUUAAAAAUAUGUAAAAAAAAAAAACUGUGAUAUUCUAAAGCAGAGACUGAUCUAACAAUUUGAUAUACCUCAUGAUAUAAGCUGGUAACCAAGUGUCACUUUAGGGACAUUUUAGAGUCUCCAAAUGGCCUUUUCAGAAAGGACCCAGACAAACACUUAGAUAAAGGCUUACAGAAAGCUAAAAUUCUUCUGCUUCAAACCUGAAACAUAGCUUGGUAAGACUUAGGGCUUUAGCCUGUUGUGUUUUUAGGUGCCUAUACCACAGCAUUGUGUAUUUAUUUCAUAAAAUGUGAAAUAUGAUUUUCUUUUUUUUGUGUGUUUGCACUUCUUUAUCUCUGUGUUAGUAACAGAUUGAGUAAUUCUGAAGAUUUCAUAGUAAAAUCUCAAGUGUUAGCUUUCUAAAGAUACUUUGAUUAUGUGUGUAGUCAGAGGGACUCAUGAGCAGUAAACCUUUUAUUUUGGGUGUGUCAUUACCCUGUUCCUCACCAAAGUGGGGGUGCUUGGAAAGGGAAUGUAUAGCGUACAAGCAUUAAUGUUUUUUAAUAAAUACAUUUUAAUAAAAUAGAGGAAGUAAAA